UUAAGAUCUAGGGUUUGAUGUAGGGUUUGGUUUAGGUUUUAGGAUUUUUCUAGGAUUUGAUUUAGGAUUUAAGAUUUGUCUAAGGUUUGAUUUAGGAUUUGAUUUAGGAUUUAAGAUUUGAUUUAGGAUUUGAUUUAAGAUUUAGGAUUUGUCUAAGGUUUGAUUUAGGAUUUGGUUUAGGAUUUAAGAUUUUUCUAGGAUUUGACUUAAGAUUUAGUUUAAGAUAUAGGAUUUAUCUAGGAUUUGAUUUCAAAUUUGGUUUAGAAUUUAAGAUUUGAUCUAGGAUUUGAUUUAGGAUUUAGGUUUUGUCUAAGGUUUGAUUUAGGGUUUGAUUGAGGAUAUAAGAUUUCAUCUAGAAUUUAGUUUAGGAUUUAGGAUUUAUCUAAUGUUUGAUUUAGGAUUUGGUUUAGGAUCUAAGAUUUCAUCUAGGAUUUGGUUUAGGAUUUAGGAUUUAUCUAAAGUUUGAUUUAGGAUUUGGUUUUGGAUCUAGGAUUUAUUCUAAGAUUCAGUUCAAGAUUUAAGAUUUAUUUAGGAUUUAAUUUAGGAUUUAGGAUUUGUCUAAGAUUCAAUUUAAGAUUUGAUUUAGGGUCUAGGAUUUGAUCUAAGAUUUGAUCUAAAGUUUAGUUUAGGAAUUAAGAUUUGAUUAGGAUUAGAUUGAAGUCCAUUAGGAUUUAACUAGAAUUAAAUUAGAACUUAGUUGACAAUUA
rnacentral:lncRNA from 1 species